rnacentral:lncRNA from 1 species
GUGGGUAUAUCAAGAGCCAUUCCGCAUCUCUUGACGAUCCUUUCAAUCCAUCUCAGUUCCAGAAGUGCCGUUUGCCUUCUCGGAUCAUAUCCAACACCCAGCUAAAGUGAUCCUUCCUUAUUUUGGUUCUAUCAAGUGGUAUCAGAGCCACUUUGGCUGGUUUGUUUUCUUUCAUCUUUCAUCUUCUCAUCUCUCCACGUUUUUCUUUUCUUAUUUCUUGGAUCCGGGCUGUUCCUUUACUCCCUUGUGAUCGCCUAUUAUAUAAAAAAAAAAACGAUAAAAAGAAAAAAAAAGUUUUGGCUUGAAUCACCUUCUGAAGAGAAAUCCAGGGGGAGUGGUGGAAGAGAAACCCUGCUGGCUGAAGAGAAACCUAGCCUUAGGACAGUUAAGGCGGAUCCAUUUCAAAAAUCUCUUCAUCUUUCUUUCUCUUUUCUUUUUCCCACAAAAGUUUGUUUUGGGUUUUGAUUGCUGAAUUUUGACUGUCUAUCAUCCUUUGAACCAGUGGAAAGAAAUCUGAGUGCUCACCUAAAAAUCGUGAGCUAAACACUUUGAGAGUGUGAGGAUUUUUAUUUGCUAACUCUUUUGUUAAGUGUUUUCAGGAUGUUUGGACUUCUCAAGAAUUCAAAACCACAACAAGACGUUUACUUUCCUUUUAAAACCGUGUUAGAAAAAGAGAAAAUGAUUUUUGGAAAUAAGAAACAGUUUGCUUCUAAUGGGUUUGAUUUUGUGCAGAAGCAAAGAAAUGAAAGGAAGAGACAAAACAGGUUCGAUGAUGAUGAGAAGUGGGUCAGAAGUGGUGAUCGUCUCUUCACCAAAGCCAAGAGAAGCAACUGUGAUGUGCCUGAUCAGAACGAGCUUCAGACUUAUGCCAGCU